AGCUUUCUGAAUCCAUGUCGAGAUUUCGUCACACAUUAUACAACCAGAACUGAUGAAACUCUCAAGAUAAAAAAAGCA
rfam:Schistosoma curassoni strain Dakar, Senegal genome assembly, scaffold: SCTD_contig0011979